rnacentral:rRNA from 1 species
UAUCGUGCCAACGGUAGUGCUGGGUAGCUAUGUUCGGACAGGAUAACCGCUGAAGGCAUCUAAGCGGGAAGCCCCCUUCAAAACAAGGUCUCCCUUGAGAGCCGUGGAAGACCACCACGUCGAUAGGCCAGAGGUGUAAGUGCGGCAACGCAUUCAGCUGACUGGUACUAAUUGCUCGAUAGGCUUGAUCUGAUCCGG